rnacentral:tRNA from 1 species
GCCGACGUGGCAGAAUGGCAAUGCCGCGGCUUUGAAAGCCGAAGGCGGUUUCACCGAUGGGGGUUCAAUUCCUCCCGCCGGCGCCA